rnacentral:rRNA from 1 species
UACGUAGGGUGCUAGCGUUGUCCGGAUUUGAUUGGGCGUAAAGGGCUCGUAGGCGGCGUGUCGCGUCGGGGAAGUCGGAAAGCCCGCUGCUUAACGGCGGGUUGGCUUCCGGUACGGGCAUCGCUGGAGUGCGGCAGGGGAGACUGGAAUUCCUGGUGUAGCGGUGGAAUGCGCAGAUAUCAGGAGGAACACCGGUGGCGAAGGCGGGUCUCUGGGCCGUUACUGACGCUGAGGAGCGAAAGCGUGGGGAGCGAACAGG